AUGGGUUGUCGUAGCCUUGUUGCUCUUGUCCUGAUUGCUGCCCUUGUCCUAGUUGGUGUCCUUGUCCUGAUUGUUGCCCUUGUCCUGACUGUUGCCCUUGUCCUGACUGUUGCAGAGAAAUUGGGUAGUACCCUUGUUGCCCUUGUCCUGGUUGUUGCACUUGUCCUAUUUGUUGGCCUUGUCCUGGUUGUUGCGCUUAAGUUGGGUAGUACCCUUGUUGUCCUUGUCCUAUCUGUUGCCCUUGUCCUGGCUGCUGCAGAGAAGUUGGGUAGUAUCCUUGUUGCCCUUGUCCUAUCUGUUGCCCUUGUCCUGGUUGCUGCAGAGAAGAUGGGUAGUACCCUUGUUGUCCUUGUCCUGACUGAUGCAGAGAAGUUGGGUAGUACCCUUGUUGCCCUUGUCCCAGUUCUUGCCAUUUGCCUGGCUGUUGCCCUUGUCCUGGCUGUUGUGGAGAAGCUUGGCCUGGAUAAUAUGGCCCCUGCUGAGGAGAACUUACGCUUGGGUAAUACCCUUGUACUGUUUGUGAAGAUGUUCCCCAAAAUAUUACUUGUUGGAGUUGCUGCAGUGGUGUGGUCUCGCCAGGGUAGAAGGAUCCGCCCUUGGGCGGCACCACGGUUUGCUCAUAUUGUCUUACGACUUGGCUGA
rnacentral:rRNA from 1 species